rnacentral:rRNA from 1 species
UACGAAGGGGGCUAGCGUUGUUCGGAAUCACUGGGCGUAAAGCGCACGCAGGCGGAUUGAUAAGUCAGGGGUGAAAUCCCGGGGCUCAACCUCGGAACUGCCUUUGAUACUGCAAAUCUCGAGUCCGGAAGAGGUGAGUGGAAUUCCUAGUGUAGAGGUGAAAUUCGUAGAUAUUAGGAAGAACACCAGUGGCGAAGGCGGCUCACUGGUCCGGUACUGACGCUGAGGUGCGAAAGCGUGGGGAGCAAACAGG